rnacentral:rRNA from 1 species
GCACAAGCGGCGGAGCAUGUGGAUUAAUUCGAUGCAACGCGAAGAACCUUACCUGGGUUUGACAUGCACCAGAUCGGCGUAGAGAUACGUCCUCCCUUGUGGUUGGUGCACAGGUGGUGCAUGGUUGUCGUCAGCUCGUGUCGUGAGAUGUUGGGUUAAGUCCCGCAACGAGCGCAACCCUUGUCUUAUGUUGCCAGCACAUCUUUGGUGGGGACUCAUGAGAAACUGCCGGGGUCAACUCGGAGGAAGGUGGGGAUGACGUCAAAUCAUCAUGCCCUUUAUACCCAGGGCUUCACACAUGCUACAAUGGUCGGUACAACGGGUUGCGACACUGUGAAGUGAAGCUAAUCUCUGAAAGCCGGCCUCAGUUCGGAUUGGGGUCUGCAACUCGACCCCAUGAAGUCGGAGUCGCUAGUAAU